rnacentral:rRNA from 1 species
AUACGAAAGGUGCAAGCGUUGUUCGGAUUUACUGGGCGUAAAGAGAGUGUAGGUGGUUUAUUAAGUCGGAUGUGAAAUCCCGGGGCUCAACCUCGGAACUGCAUUCGAUACUGAUAGGCUAGAGUUUGGGAGGGGUAAGCGGAAUUCCGUGUGUAGCAGUGAAAUGCGUAGAUAUACGGAGGAACACCUGAGGCGAAGGCGGCUUACUGGACCAAUACUGACACUGAGACUCGAAAGCGUGGGUAGCAAACAGGAUUAGAUACCCCGGUAGUCC